UACGUAGGGGGCAAGCGUUGUCCGGAAUUAUUGGGCGUAAAGAGCUCGUAGGCGGUUUGUCGCGUCUGCCGUGAAAGUCCGGGGCUCAACUCCGGAUCUGCGGUGGGUACGGGCAGACUAGAGUGAUGUAGGGGAGAUUGGAAUUCCUGGUGUAGCGGUGGAAUGCGCAGAUAUCAGGAGGAACACCAAUGGCGAAGGCAGAUCUCUGGGCCGUAACUGACGCUGAGGAGCGAAAGCAUAGGGAGCGAACAGG
rnacentral:rRNA from 1 species